CUCUCAUUUUUCUCCCUGUUUCCUUCUUUCUACUCUCUCUAAAGCGCUCGUAGGCGACGGGCGCUGGACAACCUUUGUGUGCCACGCAGCUCUGCGUACACUCUUUGUUGGCUCGAUUGUGAGUGGUAGGGACUGGUUUGGUUGGACAAUUGGAAUGCUGUAGAUGCACGGCAAAUAAGGUAGUCUUUAUGUUGUGUCAGCGUAUCGGUGUUGGUGGUGAGGAAGGAGUGGUGUUGUUGGUCGCAAUUGUUGAUUAGAAUAGCCGAUGUGGUGGCGACAAAUGGGAAUGAAGAGCGUGUUUUGUUGUUACUGGUUGAUGGUGAGAUCAAAACAAGGUGGUGUUGAUUUCGUAGGCACGAGAUGGUGAUUUAACCGAUGAGGAAUGGAUAUGGAGGUGUCGGCAAGCAGUGGUGGUAUGGUUUAGGGUUU
rnacentral:lncRNA from 1 species